ACAAUCGCAACUUGUCAAACGCAAGUACUAAACAACCGCCUCCUCGCUCGCCGCCACGAGCCACCGCCGCCUCGCUCUCCUCCGCUCACCGCCACGCGCGCGCCGCCGUCGAGCUCGCGCAUCUCCUCCGCUCGCCCCGAUGCCACGUCGCUGUUUCGCUCGUCCAUCUCCUUCCCUCGUUGCCACACGCCGCCGCCUCCUCGCUCGCCGCCUCGCCGGUCCAUCUCCUCCGCACCGACACGCGCGACCGCCUCCUCGCUUGCCGAUCUCCUCCGCUCGCCGCCACGUACCGCUGCCUCCUCCGCUUGACCAGCGCUCUACCAGUGCUCUCCGUCUAUCCCGUGUGGCGCACCGGCCGUUGCCGCUACCGUUUCUCUACCAGCGCGAGCUCGUGGGAGGGAGAUGACGAGCAGGUUCUGGAAGUAGUACGCGGACCCGUAGUUCCACAAGUGGGAGAAGACGGUGCUGUGGGACAUGGUGGAGCCGUACGGCUCGAUGUACUCCUUCGCGCCGCUCGUUGGCAUGUACGUCGCCGCCUUCUACACCACCGUCAUCGUUGCUGUCACCGAGUAGCUCUACAAGGUCAGGCACACCGGCUCGACACCACAACCCUUCCUGUUCCUGUCUGUGCGGGCUUCGCACGCCAGGUGCUCGACGAAAUAAUUAGGCAGGAAUUCAUUGCAAAAGCAAUAGCUCUACUUGGUCAAUGGGAGAUUAUGGACAUGGUACCAGUUGCAUACCCCUAUGUUGUUCGUGCUAUCUGCACUUUUAUUAAGAAGGAACUUGGCUCUCAACUCAGAGAUGAUCUUCUUGCAGUUCUAACGUGAUUACUGGAAGUCAGCAAAGAAGACCGAAUGAUCUUAACUAUAAGCUACAGAAACAAUGAGGUUAAUUCACAAACUUGGUAAUAAGAUUCACAAAUUUGACAAGACACCCAAGAGAAGGAAAAUUUCCAAUCCAACUGCGAGGGACAUCAAGUUCAAAAAGGACUCACAAGCUAAUGCAUUGAUGCAGAACGCACAAGUUGCAGCUAUGUAAUUGAGUGACAUUGAACAUGUGACUGAUAUUCAUAAACCAAACCAUGUGUUUACUUGCUGAUCGUGACAAACCUGUACGGAGUAGUAAGGAUUUCCUGUAGUUUAUAACUGUUUACAAUACAAUUAUGGAUGAUAAUAUAAUGA